GCUGUGGCUCAGUGGUAGAGUGCUUUUCUGGCAUGUGUGAGGCACUGGGUUCCAUUCUCAGCACUGCA
rnacentral:tRNA from 1 species